AAAACAUUUAAACCAGUGAAGGGGAAAAAAGAUUGUAUCAUCAAAAUAAGAUUCUAGCCACAUCCCGAUAACAAUAUUUAGCUCUCUUAACAAUAUUUGAAUGACAUUGGUGAGCCUUGAACUUCCGGCCAAAAAAUAACAUCAGGUUACCUUAAAUCCCAAUGCCUCAUGUAAAUAAUCACUUCCCUCAAAACAUCUAUUACAGUUGAACUUGAAAUUUUAGUAUGUAUUUAAUCUUAAAGAGUCAUAGCUAUCAAGGUUGAGUCAUAAUCACCACUAAAUCCCAAGGAUACAGUGGGAAACUCUCAGCCUUUCUACUUGAUUGAAGAUACAUGAAUAAUUACUGUUCAUAUAAUAUAAUUCAGUGUUUGAAGAUACAUGAAAAAUGAAUAUAUUUUUACUUUCAAAAAAUAGGCAGGGAAAAGAAGGGCUGGAAAGGGGGAGAGA
rnacentral:misc_RNA from 1 species